AGUGAACGCUGGCGGCGUGCUUAACACAUGCAAGUCGAACGAGAAACGGAUUUAGCUUGCUAAAUUGCAGUCUAAGUGGCGCACGGGUGAGUAAUGUAUAGGUAAUAUGCCUCUUACUAAGGGAUAACAAUUGGAAACGAUUGCUAAUACCUUAUAUGCCUUUAAUACGAAAGUAUGCAAGGGAAAGAUUUAUUGGUAAGAGAUUAGCCUGUAUGGUAUCAGCUUGUUGGUGAGGUAAUGGCUCACCAAGGCUAUGACGCCUAACUGGUUUGAGAGGAUGAUCAGUCACACUGGAACUGAGACACGGUCCAGACUCCUACGGGAGGCAGCAGUGGGGAAUAUUGCACAAUGGACGAGAGUCUGAUGCAGCAACGCCGCGUGGAGGAUGACACAUUUCGGUGCGUAAACUCCUUUUAUAUAGGAAGAUAAUGACGGUACUAUAUGAAUAAGCACCGGCUAACUCCGUGCCAGCAGCCGCUGUAA
rnacentral:rRNA from 1 species